rnacentral:sRNA from 1 species
ACUGGAUGGAAUUAUCAGGAACCGGAACAUCACGCCUCAACGGGACUGCCCGUAAGUAUUCUGCUUUUGUCGGUCCUCGGAAUAUCAGCCUACCUGCUGGUCGGGGGCUCCUUGAGUGGUGGAGAUCGCGUCGGUUCCAAAGUCUAUCUGCCUGUCGCGCAAACACAGGAUCGUUGAGGAAAGUUGGUCGGACCU